GGCGGUUAAACUGCUCUCCUUUUAAUCAGUUUUUACAGAAUAAUACAUUAAUAAUCACGUUAGAGACAAGAUGGGGUUCCUGUAUACAAGAUUGUGCAAGCUCAUUAAUUUAGAUUUAUAAAGGCUUUACCAGUUUCAAAGAGGAGAGGCAGUACAAAGCUUUUAAAUAGAGGUAAAGCACAAUUAAAAGGUACAGAACACACACUACUAACUCAGCAGAGAUUAAUUCUCAAGUAGUACAGGCUCAACCAAGUCACCAGCUGUCACCCAAACAAGAGGAUUCUUCUCCUCCUCCUUUCCUGCUGCUCCCACUCUCCCGGCCCCGCUGCCAGCCGGAGGCUGCACGCUCUGUACCCCAGCAUGGCCACGCAUGUUACGCUCAUGCCAAGCACACCUUCACUGGCCUGAGGCACUGCUGCUGCACAGGCCAGCCUCCUGUGCCCCUGUUCUAGCUCCCCUUCCCCAUGUGCACUCAGCAUUAGCACAGCAGAGAGUUCCCAAACUUCUCUGAGAAUUUGGCUCAACAUAACACUCACGUUUUCGCGCGAUACGAACCAACACUGUGUUCACCAGAAACUCACCGACAGGAAACAAGAUCAUGUUCGUGGCUUUUUUUUCCUGAAAUUUAUGGCAGUUACAUUCAGCAUUUGGUAGUAUAAGGUCUUCAAAACAAAAAAGUUUUAAACUGAAAUACCUAAUAGGCCAUACACGUUCCAAUUCUCCUUCAAGGGGAUUUAGAAAAGCUUUAGAGAAAAGUCUCCCUUAGGGUUAGGAGCUAAAAGGAAUCUCCUAGGGAAGAAAAAGCCCAGCCCUUUCCUUUCCCUCCUCUACCCAAGAAAGGAAAACACCACCUCUCUAAUAUUAACAGGCAUUGCCGAGCCAUUGGUUAAUUUGGCAGCUCCUCCAGACAUGCCAAUGACCAGCGCUGAAGUCAAUGACUGAGUCUUGACUGCAACCUGCUACUGAGGAUCCCUCCCCUUUCCCCACAAUAUUCCAUUCAUCCUUCAGUGGCUGGAGUAGUUUAAUUAACAGAAAGCACCAAGUUUACAGCAACAGAUACUUGGCUGGCACCUCUUGGCAGCAGUGCUGUUACUUUUGGUCCUUUAUGCACUGUUUUUUCACCUUUACUAUUGCACACCAAAACCUAACAACAUCACUUCCUAGACAUGUAAUUUGUCAUUUUAAAAUAAAAUGUUAUGGGACACCAGGGGAAAACAGUAAGAGGACAUUACAGGAAGGUUUUUAAUUCUUCAGAAAGUCUAAUUCUCUAACUACACCUACCAAGACUCUAUAAAGGACUUUCAGAGUAGGUUGGAAAAAAGAAGCAAAGGACCAUCUUGCUAUGAAGACUCUCAGCUCAUCUGGGGCUCAUUGAAACACUCACUGGUUUUAAAAUAACUAAAUAAUAAUAAUAAUAAUAGUAAUAAUAAUAAUAAAGACUCCAGUUCUACGCAGAAAAACAAAGUGACAAAACCUGUGAAGGAAAUGGUUCUUGCCCCUUCCAUAAAGGAGAGCAAAUCUGAAGGAUCUGAUGGUGCUGGUCAAAUCCUGCUUACCAGGUCUGCAAACAGAAGCAAAGUGCAGGGUAAUCACCAACUGAAGUGUCUUUGUGCCUCCUUUAGGGACUGUACAAAUACUCUCCUCAACUAAAACCCAAGCUGCAGGACUAAAAGCACUUUCAAACAUGGGUCUUAACAUCUCAGAUAUUCAAGUAAUAAUUAAAUAUUACAGGACACUUCGAUAUAAAUAAAUUUAUAUUGCUUUUAGAUAUGAUCUGGCCAUAUCUUCAAGGGCAUAUUUGUGCUUCGCUGCUGAGUAUUAUUGGUCAGGGCUGUGCUUGCAAUAUCAAGUUAUGUGUUCAGCACCAAAACCUCAUCAAGGCUAAAGAACUGGAAUAUUGCAGUGCUACACAGACUGAGUUACCACAGUAAGGCAGAUCAGAAGAAUUUUGUUUCUACUGAGUAUUGCUCCUCCACACAAUCAAGUCUCUCAUAGAGGAGAAAGACUAUAAAUAAAAGAAAAAGGUUACCAUCCCACCCUCUCACCUGUGAUUAGUUUGGCAAAAACGUUGCUAUACUGAGUUACAUACUAGAGUCCUAGAAAGUAAGUUUCUUUAAUUAUGCCUCGACGAGUAGCACAGCCAAAUCAAGCACUUGAUACUUGACAUAAAUUGCUCUAAUUUCAAUUAACCAAAUUCUUUUCCCAAGUACUAGUUGGUUACAGGUUGUCCUCAUCAAAAUGCACACACAAAUAAAAUAAAAAUCCUAUUUUGAAAAGAA
ensembl:lncRNA